UACAGAGGUGGCAAGCGUUGUUCGGAAUUACUGGGCGUAAAGGGCGUGUAGGUGGCCAUCUAAGUCAGACGUGAAAUCCCCCGGCUUAACCUGGGAACUGCGUCUGAUACUGGACGGCUUGAGUAUGGGAGAGGAACGUAGAAUUCCAGGUGUAGCGGUGAAAUGCGUAGAUAUCUGGAGGAAUACCGGUGGCGAAGGCGGCAUCCUGGACCAAUUCUGACGCUGAGUGAGCGAAAGCCAGGGGAGCAAACGGG
rnacentral:rRNA from 1 species